rnacentral:rRNA from 1 species
UACAGAGGGGGCAAGCGUUGUUCGGAAUUAUUGGGCGUAAAGAGCUCGUAGGCGGUCUGUCACGUCGGCUGUGAAACCUCGGGGCUCAACCCCGAGCCUGCAGUCGAUACGGGCAGACUAGAGUUCGGCAGGGGAGACUGGAAUUCCUGGUGUAGCGGUGAAAUGCGCAGAUAUCAGGAGGAACACCGGUGGCGAAGGCGGGUCUCUGGGCCGAUACUGACGCUGAGGAGCGAAAGCGUGGGGAGCGAACAGG